AUAAAGAAAGCGAAUAGAUUUAUAAAGGGCCAACCUGUUUUGCGUUGCCGAAGACUCGAUGGAAGGUAUGGCAACGUUGAUUUUCUCUCCCCUUCAUUCGCAUUGCAUUAUAACGCAAACGUAAUAAUGACGUCAUGCAUACCGCAUUGAAGAACAUUCAAAGUGUGAAUGCAAAGGCAACAUAAAAUCAGCACACCUAUUUUUCGGCUCCUUUGCUUUCAGUCAUCUGUCAAACUCUUGUUUUGAUUUUGUUUCUGCACCGUAAAGUUCGGAGCGGCAUCUCGGCAGUGAUUAGAUUAGGUUCCUGCUCAGAAAUCUCACCGUUAAUUACCAGCUCAUCAGAUGGAGGCAAACGAAGCAUCGAUCGACGACUGCGAGGCGAGUUUCUCUGGCCAGUUUCGGGGUUCGAAUGGCCCCACGCUUGGUGCACAAAUGGAUGAGCCACUCGAUCUCUGUGUCCAUCGUCAUUCAG